UGAAAAAACAUACAGUUAGCCAUUGUUAGCGUUAGCUCAAAAAAUAUCAACCAAGUCCUGUCUACAACGCGAAUUAAAUACAACCUGAUAUGAAAGGAGAACUGAAAGUCCCGCCCAAGAACAGGAAACUAUAAAGAUAUGUGCUUGACACCCAAUGCUUCGGAUUUCGGACUGACUGCGCUGUGUAACUCUGUUAUUCUCCUGAGCUCAGAAAAAUAAAGAAUCUUAGUUUGACUUGGAAUCCAGCAAAUCCUUAUUUUAUAAUAUCCACCACAUAAUCCAAAAGUUACAUUACUGAAUUCAAAUUUGGACAAGUAACUAACGGAUUACACUUAGAAAGUAACCUACCAAACCCUGAUGAUCAAUAUCUUUCAAGCUGAGAACAGACUUAUUUACAAAAGAACAGUGUGUGAGCUAGAGUAGAACAUUUAUUCCAUCUACAUCACCUCAGUAAGAUAAAUAUUAAACUGUCCUUGUUCUAGCCCAGGUUUACUGUCUCUAAAAAAAACAGGUAUUUACUCAAGCCUGUUCCAAAUGAUAAGUUAACAAAGGGUUAAUGAGGGGUAUGUGGUUAAUUGCCCUCUUACCCCAAGACACUUCACAUGAUAGCUAUAAUAUGUCAGAGCUAAAGAAUGAUUCCCAGAUAUCCCGGGUACAUCUAAAACCACACUUCUAAGAUUUCUCCCCAUUGUGGACACUCCUAUGUCUGAUAAGGUUACUCAGGAAAGAGAAGCGCUGGUCAUAUAGUCUACACUUGAAGGGCCUCUCCUUGGUGUGAACGGUCUGGUGCUUCUUCACAGUUUGCCUCAGCGAUACGCUUUCCACGCGUACGGCUUGUCAGCGUCCAUCCUAAUGCUCAGCCUUCCACGUUGUGACCCAAUGACACCCCAGGAAGUAGAAGCAGGAGAUGCCACCAAUGUGGUUAGUCCUUGAGCUCCCUCCUUGACCUCUAGCCAUUGUUUGGGUGUUGUUGGCAUUGUGUGCUGUGUUAUAGGCUAGGUACCUCUUGUGGUGACCGCCCAUCCUGACCCUGUCUGUAUUGGUGAGGUAACUGAGGAAGGCUAGACCCAGGUCCUCUAUGAACCCAUUCACCAGGCAUUAGACGAGACCCUGCAGAAGACAGACUUCCUGUUAGACUCCAACCAGUCUCCCACAACUCUCUGUGAAGGCUGAAGCCCAGUGUGACCUGCUCUGUUCAUCAUGGAUACUGUGGUGUUUGUAUCAUAGGAACAGGAGGAUAUAUCUCUAUCAGCCCCAGGCCCUGCUUCAUCCCUGCACUGAGACUGUGAAGAGAAGGGUCUGGGCUGCAGACUUGAUCCCUGACUGGAACCUCUGUCUCAGUGAUGACCACCAAAGCUGAGGUUGUUCAGUCCACCAUGGACUGUAGACUUAUAACAAAGAUUGCACAGAAAAAGCAUAAAGGUUUACAUAACCUAUUUGCUGUACACACAAACAGGACAUGCUAUAAUAAAAUGUUAACCACAGCCAAGCCAGUCUCUAACACGGAUUCAAGUACCUAAUAAUAUGGAGCCAUUUGAGUUUGUUAUCUCGACUCAAUGGUACAAAAACAACAAAGUCAGUCAGCACAGAUUACAUUUUGUAUUUCAUUUCAAGAUAAAUAAAUAAAAGAAGAAACCCGCACACUGCUCUUGCUAGUAUCACUGCUUUGUAUUAAGCUUUACGUAUCGGCCUCAAGGCCUUUGUCAGAGAUUUUUUGAGUGUUUACAACCUGCACCCUUAUGUAGACACUGCUCCACCAAUGCAUCGAAUGGGUUUUGAGUUGAGGGAAAAUAAGUGUUACCAAAUAUAACAAUGUGCAUUUCAUAAGUAUUAUAAUAAAGUGUGUACAUAAAACGUAUUAAACAAGACUAAAACCACAAUGAGGACAUCGACCUAUCAAGUUCACAUUUACAAAACCACAUACAUGGGCAUUUCAUCAUUAAGAGCUUUAAGGAAUAAUGUCUGGAGGGUGAAAAUCCCAAAACAUUCUCUUUUGCUCAGAGUAUUAUUUAUAUCACCUCCUGUCUGAUAUCUUGACUUUCUCUAUGCCACAAAAUCUAAAAAAGGUAGAAAUGUCAUUAAAAUGUACUGCGACUGGAUAAUCCUGGUUGUUACUCCUGAUGGAACUUUUACGUUCACUAAUUCUAUUUGAGAGAACGAGAGGUUUUACCUACAUAACACAGCCCACAUGGACAUUUAAUUAUAGAUAACAUGGGUGGUGGAGCGCGUAAUAAUGUCAUUUAUUUGGACCCGUUUUCUUGUAUGUGGAUGGCAGAAAUAUUCAAACUUCAUCAUAUUGUUGCACUGUGUGCAACCUCUGCAUUUAUAACUACCAUUCAGAAGAGGGUGUAAAAGAACAUGGCUCAUUUUUUUUGUGGCUGGCAGUUGGCAUGGACCAAUCUGUCACGUAAAUUGCGACCUCUCCUAUAUACAAUACGUGGUGUGUUCUUAAAUUCAGCUGGCAGAGCUGGGUCUGAUGAUAAAACAUGCCAAUUUCAACAAAAUGGUCACACACUCACAUAACGUAAAGCACAGUACUUUUAUUGCACACAACAAUACAUGAUCUCGUAGAAAAACGUCUUACUAUGGUAACACUACAUUUUCUGUAAAUCUGAUAUGUCACUUUGAUGAAAUGGAUUUUAAAAUACUUGGUAAAAGGGUCAACAUUACAUUACACACAGCUUCACUACUUCCUGUCAGGUAAAGAUGAUUUAAGGCAUUAUCACAGAUAUGGCAUCAUAUUAGGCAAGAAUUAAGACUAGGCAAAGUGAUCGUGGCAGGUGAAAAUUAUAUCAAAAGUUUUACCAUUGCAACAUUUGAUGUAGUCACGUUCACCGUAGUUGUCUGAAGCAUGCUAUAGAGUUCACAGCUGGCGAUGCCUCAUCGCGAUAGGUUAUUCCCCAUCAUUUGCAACAAUGUUUAUGAGCGUCACCAGCUUUCCUUUGCGCUACCUCAAACUGUCGUGAUUACCAGCUGAGAAACUUUUAUGAGCUGAUUUACUCCUGGCACAGAGUUUGUCUGAGCAGUGUUUUAACAUCAUCCUAAAACCUAAUCUGAGCUGGAUUUUUUCUUCUUCUUAAAACAAGGUUUAACAGGGUUCCUAGGAGCUUUUCUGAGAUGAUUUGUGGAUACAAGCCCUGAUUGGCUGAUAGAAUCGUCAACAACAAAAAAAGGCACAUGGUAUUCAACCUGUCAGUUGGAGCUGGACCCCGACAGCCUGUCAGUUGGAUCUGAAGCUGGACCCCGACAGCCUGUCAGUUGGAUCUGAAGCUGGACCCCAAAAGCCUGUCAGUUGGAUCUGAAGCUGGACCCCGAAAGCCUGUCAGUUGGAUCUGAAGCUGGACCCUGAAAGCCUGUCAGUUGGAGCUGGAGCUGGAUCUUGAAACCCUGUCAGUUGGAGCUGGAGUUGGACCCUGAAAGCGACAAACUUCCACAAGUGUGUAGGCUACUUUGUUUUGUCAUCAAAAGAAAAGGCAUACGUCACACAUCAUAAUUUGCUAUAUCAUUCUUGUACUGUUUUCAAUAGGUCACCAGAAGAUGCAGGACAAGAGGGGUAUACUACGAAGCAAGCUAGAUCUACUCACUUCUAAAGCUAGCUAGCUUCACUUAGCAUCCAAUUCAAGCUCAUUCAUUCAUACUAUGACAUUGGAUAUUACUCAUCUGCCUGCCGCUAACUCUAGCAGGUUUGUAACUGCACGUGCAUGUUGCUCAUGACUACGCAAACGCCAAACUCUUUAUUUAAACAAUGCUGAAACAUCAAUCCAUGGGGAAGUCUCUGCCUAAUUUUCAUUUAGUGCCUGAAAUCAAAAUUAAAGCAACGUUAUCCUGCCAAUUCAAUAGGCUAGGGUGUGAAAUAGGCUUUUAGAAGUGCUGUCUUUAUUUUAUUAUUUUGGUGUGCUUUGAUGUGCUUAUCAAUGCACAAGCAUAUUUUCCCCCACUCCUAUCAAUAAAAUAGUUGUAUUAAGUCAUACAAAAGUUACUGUGCGUGAAGUUUCAAAUACAUUUGAUGUGAUAGGUAUUUUUACAUAACUAUAUUUUUUAACACAUUUGAUUAAUAAAAUAUUUAAAUUAGUUGUCUUUGUGAAAGGGAGGGAAUCUGAUUUCAUUGGUCCUCAACUCGCGGCUCAGACACUUCAUUCAAGAUAAAUGUAGUUCGUUUGCCGAUAGUGAUGGAAUUUAGGUUUACGAGUGUUUUAACGAUGCAUCUUUCCGAAUAAUGUAACAUCCGUUUCCCAAAACACUCCACCUAGAGAAUGGUCGCUGAGUGCAUCGUUGGAGCAUGUUCUAAUGCUUACCCUAUAAAAAUGCAUUAAAUCUCCGAUUUGGCCCAUGAUUGCGCACAUUUUUAUUUAUUUCACCUUUAUUUAACCAGGUAGGCAAAUUGAGAACACGUUCUCAUUUACAAUUGCGACCUGGCCAAGAUAAAGCAAAGCAGUUCGACACAUACAACAACACAAAGUUACACAUGGAGUAAAACAAACAUACAGUCAAUAAUACAGUAGAAAAAUGAGUCUAUAUACAAUGUGAGCAAGUGAGGUGAGAUAAGGGAGGUAAAGGCAAAAAAAGGCCAUGAUGGCAAAGUAAAUACAAUAUAGCAAGUAGAACGUUACAAGCUGACCAGACCGGACACGUCGCGUGCGCGAGCGUCGCAAAAUACAUUUAGAAAUCCAUGUUAUUCAAUUAUUGCACCCACACUGCUUGCGCGCCAACGAGCGUCUACGACACCAAGGGCUAAAAUAGAUGUCGUUCCUAUUUCUGACGCAGAUCGCGCUGCAAGUCCUGCCUCUCCCAUCUCCUCAUUGGUUUAUAGAAGCAGGUACCCACGUGCCAUCUCAUCAUUGGUUUAUAGAAGCAGGUACCCACGUGCCAUCUCCUCAUUGGUUAUACCCACGUGGGUGAUAGAAAGACUAACUGUUUUGCCGGUAGUCGUGGUAAUACAAUGAAAGUUUAGAUGCGAUCACCAUAUAAUUUAAAUGAUGACAAAGCCUGGAAGGAGGAGAGAUGACUAGAAACGAUUCGGUUGGCCGUUUUAUGUGUGGAUUAAUUGUCGGAGUAGAGAUCCUUGUGCAUUUCAGGUAAAAUAACAACUCAAUGUUUAUAUCCCAGGACAAAUUAGCUAGCAACAGCAAGCUAGCUAAAUAGGACAAAUUAACGUUAGCUAGCAAGUGCAAGCUAACUAGCUAAAUUACCAUACAUGUUUAAUGCUUUUCGACCUGUCCCCAAAUUAAUGUCAUCGGUUCAGAGUUUGUUUUGAUAUUUUAACAUGCGUGUUGUGAUCGUGUUUGGUGUGGUGGGGGCAAAAUAAAUUUAUGCACGAUAGCGCACGCGCGUGCAGUCGGUUUGGGCAAGGUGUUAUUAUAGCCUUAAGAUGCUUUUGGGGAAACCAGACCAGGGUUCGUUCUGAAGGAUUCGGUACCAUAGAAAUAUACCUGGCUAAAAGCUAAGCCAUUUUCGUUGUACCUAUUAUUCCGAGUUGACCAAAGUUACCUCGCUAACUCGUCAAACUACAUUUGUAGUAUAGGGCUCUGAACAGCCUGUUUGUAUGGUGGACCAUACUGGCCUAUACCCUGUCUACCAGCUAUUCUCAAAAAGGGCUUAAGUUUUUGAGAUGCCCCUACCUGAGGUAGAGCAAAAUACAACCAUUUCUUCCAUCUCUUAUAUCUCCCAUUUAUGAAAUGUUCUAUCAUACACAGUACAAACCCAAUAUGAAACAGACUUUUUAGACUUAUGGCAAAAUGUCUGGAUGCAAUAUUCUACACAGGAAUAUUCAACACUGAAAUCUGUUACUCUCGUUAUUCCAAAUGCAUCUGUGGAUCUUUUCUGCUGACAACAAUGAACAUUCAUCUUUGUCUUUAAAAGGGUAGGAACCAUGAGUUUACUCAAAGUAAGAACGUAGUGUGGUCAGACUUAAUAGUCACGGUGUGGUUACCUAUAACUCCAAAAAUAGUUGUCUUGAAAUAUUUAUGAUUAUUUUCAGAUAUCUCCGGAGCUACCCACAAUGCACUAUUGUCAGCGUCAUAUGGAGAACCGGCGCAACCUAGCCAGCUCAAUCUGGCUAACAUUAGCUAUUAGCCAUUCUAGCAUGUUAUUAAAUUAAAGACCAAGUGUUGGCAUUGGUGAGCUACUAUGUACAUCCACGAAGAAGUAACUAUAUAAAUAAAUGCGAAAAACUGCAUAUCCUCUUCUCCUGUGCGUGGUAGUCGAGCGUUAGUAGUAGUUUUCCCUCGUCCGUAGCUAGUGCAAUAAUACCUACAAGGACUGGGUUACGAGUCAUUUGUGGCCCAAAAAUGAGAAGCUAGCUUUGAAAUGGGACCGGUUUGUCCGGUUGAAGCGAGCACUUCUACUGUAUGCGGUGCUCAUUUCACCCAGGAGGACUUCAAAGCCUUAGUAUAACCAGUGGAAUGCAAGAUUUGGAAUGAGACGGAAACCAGGUGCUGUGCCGAGCGUGAAUGUGAAGCCUGCCGACCUACCAGUACAUCGCUAGUGUCAGCAGUGAUGGAGAUAAACCAGGUAAAUUCAAUGUGGAUUUACCACACUAUAUCUCUAUUGGAUUAUCUGACUCUCCCUCGGCCGGUGAAACGGCAACUCCCUCUAAAGGCCUCUCCUUGGCUCUUCUUUGGUAGCUAACUCAGCCGUCAAUCGGUAAGUUUCCUCUCUCUAAUUUAUAUCUGCUUGCUUUUUAUGUGGGUUCCUGCCUGUGUAGACUAGUUGUUCUCUAGCUUACUACUUAGCUAUGUUGACUGUGGUGGUUUGCAAGCUAUGGCUAGUUAUCUGGCUAGGCUAGCUAGCAGGCUAAAAUAACCAACUUUAGCUGGCUUGCUUGCUGGCUUAGAUACCUGCAUAUCAGUGGAGGCUUGUGACUUGAACAUUUGAGGAGGAUGAGAGAACCACACUAUUUUAACCUGUUAUGUUAUAAUUCUUAGAGUAAAAAACUCAAUGGACAUUUAUGAAAGCUUAACCAAGUUUAUUCUGCUCAAAGGGUCAAUACAGCUGCAUUCAGACAAAAACUUUUCCCACCACCACAAGUAUAUAUACUCCAAUUUAGGCACUCCCCCCUUCUCACCAAUCCUUACAUAUUUUAUGGUUCGACAGGAAGACGAAGUGAUAAGGGAGAAACAAACGGUAAUAAACCAAAGGGGAUUUGACCUGACCUCAACCCCUUGAGGCCUAAUCCAAAAACCUCCACCCGUAUCCCCUAUAGCAAUGCUGUGACUUCCUCUUGUCAUGACGUUGGCAGUGGGGGUAGGUUUAUGACAGUCAUAAAUACCUCUUUCCCCAUUUUUCUCUCUCCCUACUAUAACUGAUGUGACAUAAGGAAACCCAUGGGUUAACAUAGAGAUUCUGGGUAACAUCAGGAGUUGGGGGAAAUGAACUAUAUUCUGGUAGUCCGACCAACUGAACAUAUGCGGGGGUACUUAAGGUAUAUUAUGUCAGUUCGGUUGCCCUCUGACACAUUCUCAUCAAUGAUAGAAUGACAAACUCUACUGUGGAAAGUCUAAACGUCAGAGGUAUCGGAUUCACAUGGAAUUGUUGUUUAAUUCAAAUGUUUGAAUAUGACAUUAUUUGUGAAGAGGUGAAAUGUAAUUUUAGCUUCCAAAUGAGAGAUCUGUGCUUUCAUAAGUUUUCCUCUGCUCACAGUGGUCCGCCCCUGUGAAGAGGCAUGGGUUAUAAACUUUUCAGACACACCCCUCUCCUUCCACUAUAAAAGCCAAGAACAAGAAUAUAACUUCCUGUUCCGGGUACACCAGGAUGACGGUCCGGUGUCAGAAUGGUUCAGAUAAUAACUACAGAUGAAGCCAACAUCAGCAUGGACUUUGAUUGUGAAUGGUAUGAACUUUGAACUCGUAUUCACUACAGAAGUGAUAUCUCCUAGCCGUUGAGUUAGGAACAGCUAAACGCAGGUUAGGAAGGACAGUCCAAGUAUCCCGUCUACUACACCAACGUUACUCCAACGUAUCCCGUGACUACCAGAGACAUUCUUCAAAGGACAGAGGACUCGGGUUGGCGACACGGUCCAUCUACCACCAACCUACUGAAGCGCAGCUCAGAGUAAAUAUUCGUUGCAUUUUCCUCUUCGAAUGGGCGGUAAUUUAGAAUGCAUAAGAUACUGUAUUUACGAUAGCACAGCUUGCCUAUGUUCGUCUCCCGCUCUUUCACUAGGACUCAACCCCCUUUCCUUUGUGUAACAAGCUGUCAUAUCUAUUCCGCCCGCUAGCGACGUUUUUCUGUAUGACGUAAUUUGUGAUCAAGUUAUGAUUUAAUUGUAUAUGUGUGAUUCUGUGUGAUUAGUUAGGUAUUUAGUAAAUAAAUAAUUAAACCCAA